GACGAACGCUGGCGGCGUGCCUAAUACAUGCAAGUCGAACGAGAGCAACCGGUGCUUGCACUGGUCAAUCUAGUGGCGAACGGGUGAGUAACACGUGGGUAACCUGCCCAUCAGAGGGGGAUAACAUCCGGAAACGGAUGCUAAAACCGCAUAGGUCUUCGAACCGCAUGGUUUGAAGAGGAAAAGAGGCGCAAGCUUCUGCUGAUGGAUGGACCCGCGGUGCAUUAGCUAGUUGGUGAGGUAACGGCUCACCAAGGCCGUGAUGCAUAGCCGACCUGAGAGGGUGAUCGGCCACAUUGGGACUGAGACACGGCCCAAACUCCUACGGGAGGCAGCAGUAGGGAAUCUUCCGCAAUGGACGCAAGUCUGACGGAGCAACGCCGCGUGAGUGAAGAAGGUUUUCGGAUCGUAAAGCUCUGUUGUUAGAGAAGAACAAGUGCUAGAGUAACUGUUAGCGCCUUGACGGUAUCUAACCAGAAAGCCACGGCUAACUACGUG
rnacentral:rRNA from 1 species